rnacentral:rRNA from 1 species
ACCUUACUACUUGGAUAACCGUGGUAAUUCUAGAGCUAAUACAUGCUGAAAACCCCGACUUCGGGAGGGGUGUAUUUAUUAGAUAAAAAACCAAUGCCCUUCGGGGCUCCUUGGUGAUUCAUGAUAACUUAACGGAUCGCAUGGCCUUGCGCCGGCGACGGUUCAUUCAAAUUUCUGCCCUAUCAACUUUCGAUGGUAAGGUAUUGGCUUACCAUGGUUUCAACGGGUAACGGGGAAUUAGGGUUCGGUUCCGGAGAGGGAGCCUGAGAAACGGCUACCACAUCCAAGGAAGGCAGCAGGCGCGCAAAUUACCCAAUCCCGACACGGGGAGGUAGUGACAAUAAAUACUGAUACAGGGCUCUUUUGGGUCUUGUAAUUGGAAUGAGUACAAUUUAAACCCCUUAACGAGGAACAAUUGGAGGGCAAGUCUGGUGCCAGCAGCCGCGGUAAUUCCAGCUCCAAUAGCGUAUAUUAAAGUUGUUGCAGUUAAAAAGCUCGUAGUUGAAUCUUGGGUCUGGCUGGCCGGUCCGCCUCACCGCGUGUACUGGUCCGGCCGGGCCUUUCCUUCUGGAGAGCCCCAUGCCCUUCACUGGGUGUGCGGGGGAACCAGGACUUUUACUUUGAAAAAAUUAGAGUGUUCAAAGCAGGCCUUUGCUCGAAUACGUUAGCAUGGAAUAAUAGAAUAGGACGUGCGGUUCUAUUUUGUUGGUUUCUAGAACCGCCGUAAUGAUUAAUAGGGAUAGUCGGGGGCAUCAGUAUUCAAUUGUCAGAGGUGAAAUUCUUAGAUUUAUUGAAGACUAACUACUGCGAAAGCAUUUGCCAAGGAUGUUUUCAUUAAUCAGUGAACGAAAGUUAGGGGAUCGAAGACGAUCAGAUACCGUCGUAGUCUUAACCGUAAACUAUGCCGACUAGGGAUCGGGCGGUGUUUCUAUCUUGACCCGCUCGGCACCUUACGAGAAAUCAAAGUUU